GCAGGUGCUGUCGGGAACUGUUAGGAACCGGGUUAGGUACAGCCGUAAAUUAGAUAGACGGGUCUAAAUUAGAUAGCCGUAAAUUAGAUAGACGGGACCUGAGACCCGCUUCCCUCACUCUCACGGCCUCUCUGGGAUCCCGGGAGCUCCUUCCAGCUCCUACAUCUGGAUGAUGACAACUGAAGGUGCCAAGACUCAGGGACCCCCACCACCCUUGCUGAGCUGCGGAUAACUCUCCUGGUAGCGGAUAAAGAAAAGGAGGCUAACAGAAGUCAUGUCACCUGCCCGAGUCACACAACUAGUAAGGAGCAGAGCCCAGGCGGGAACCAAAACUGCCCAACUCUAAAACCUGUGCUUGUGACCGCUCAACUCUAUCCUAAUGUCCUCAAGGGAAAGACAAAGGCCCACAAACGCAGAGAA